GACCCAGUGGCGGAUGGAUGGUCCGCGCCCGCACUGUAUGGAUGAAGAGAUUUAGAGGCUAUAAGCAUCGCAGCGGGAGCUCCUGGUUCGACUCCAGGCUGGGUCA